GGACGAACGCUGGCGGCGUGCUUAACACAUGCAAGUCGAACGGUGAAGCCCAGCUUGCUGGGUGGAUCAGUGGCGAACGGGUGAGUAACACGUGAGCAACCUGCCCUCCACUUCGGGAUAAGCCUUGGAAACGGGGUCUAAUACCGGAUAUGAGCGCCUGCCGCAUGGUGGGUGUUGGAAAGUUUUUCGGUGGGGGAUGGGCUCGCGGCCUAUCAGCUUGUUGGUGGGGUGAUGGCCUACCAAGGCUUCGACGGGUAGCCGGCCUGAGAGGGCGACCGGCCACACUGGGACUGAGACACGGCCCAGACUCCUACGGGAGGCAGCAGUGGGGAAUAUUGCACAAUGGGCGAAAGCCUGAUGCAGCGACGCCGCGUGAGGGAUGACGGCCUUCGGGUUGUAAACCUCUUUCAGCAGGGAAGAAGGCCUUCGGGUGGACGGUACCUGCAGAAGAAGCGCCGGCUAACUACGUGCCAGCAGCCGCGGUAAUACGUAGGGCGCAAGCGUUGUCCGGAAUUAUUGGGCGUAAAGAGCUCGUAGGCGGUUUGUCGCGUCUGGUGUGAAAACCUCAGGCUCAACCUGGGGGCGUGCAUCGGGUACGGGCAGACUAGAGUGCGGUAGGGGAGACUGGAAUUCCUGGUGUAGCGGUGGAAUGCGCAGAUAUCAGGAGGAACACCGAUGGCGAAGGCAGGUCUCUGGGCCGCAACUGACGCUGAGGAGCGAAAGCAUGGGGAGCGAACAGGAUUAGAUACCCUGGUAGUCCAUGCCGUAAACGUUGGGCACUAGGUGUGGGACUCAUUCCACGAGUUCCGUGCCGCAGCUAACGCAUUAAGUGCCCCGCCUGGGGAGUACGGCCGCAAGGCUAAAACUCAAAGGAAUUGACGGGGGCCCGCACAAGCGGCGGAGCAUGCGGAUUAAUUCGAUGCAACGCGAAGAACCUUACCAAGGCUUGACAUGCACCGGACGCUGCCAGAGAUGGUGGUUCCGCAAGGUCGGUGCACAGGUGGUGCAUGGUUGUCGUCAGCUCG
rnacentral:rRNA from 1 species